UCUAAACGACUCUCGGCAACGGAUAUCUCGGCUCUCGCAUCGAUGAAGAACGUAGCGAAAUGCGAUACUUGGUGUGAAUUGCAGAAUCCCGUGAACCAUCGAGUCUUUGAACGCAAGUUGCGCCCGAAGCCAUUCGGCCGAGGGCACGCCUGCCUGGGCGUCACGC
rnacentral:rRNA from 21 species